rnacentral:snRNA from 1 species
CUACUUACCUGGUACUGGGGCCUCGUUGAUCACCGAGGACGAGCCUCCAGGGUGAGGUGCGGGAGUUGUACUGCGCUCGUAGUGACCCCUGCCACCAACCCAAGCUGGUGCAGAUGGGACAUGCAAAUUGC